GAACUGGGGUGGACUGUUCCCUGGGCCGCGGGAGCUGUUCGCUGCGGCCCGCCCCCUAUAGACACGGUGCGAGGGCCGUACACCGAGCGCAGCCGCCACCGGGGCCAGGGCUGUGGAACAGGCGUGUCCCCGGGGGCUGACCCGGCCGAGGGGGUGGGGUGCCUGGGUUCCCCGAGCCAAGCGCUGGGGCAGGGCGCCUGGCAGCGGUGCCCGCUCCGAGCGUCUAAAGAUCACGAGACUGGCCCCAGGAUCCCGGGGGUUUGCAAGGGACACCAGUCAGGGUGGGUGAUUUUGGCCCCAAAGCAGACACGCUGCUUGGACCCGAGAUCAAACUGCAGAGUUGUGCCCACGCUAUAAAAUGCUGCUGGGUGGGGCGGAGUGCCCAGCCUGAACCCGGCCCUGAACAAUUCGAAUGAGUUAACCUGGUGCCCCAGGUCUGCCCAGCCGGGAAUUGUACAACGCCGGCCAGUGACGCGUUUGGCCCUCACUACUCUCCGACUCCUGCAGUUCUAGUGCUUCUCCACAUCCCCUUCCGGGUCUGAAAUGGGAGGCAGAUCCUGGGGCUCUUCUCCCCUUUCCCAGACCUGGAUUGCAGGGGUGAAGAUAGAGGGCAUCGAGCCGACCAACCAGUUUAUUACAGGGGACUGAAUUUGGAAGGUGACCUGACUGGAGGACUGGGACCUGGAAGCUGCGGUAAAAUCAGCUUGGCAAAUAGCAGUCCUGAUUAUAAGAACUCCUGCAACACCAUGUCCUGGCUUGAGGGGUUCUGUGAUGACACCACCACCAAGCGGCUGAAGCACUGAUCAAAGGGGAGAGCCAGGCUGAAGGGCAACCAGCCAGCCUGGGGUGAGAAGCAUCUAAGUUUGUAAUGGCACGGAAAGUGUUAAGAUCAGCUUAGAAUGUGCUUUGCUUUUAUUUCAUUUGACCAAAUCUGACUUCUUGUGCUUUGGCAUAUAAUCACUUAAAAUCUGUCUUUUGUAGUUGUUAAAUUCGUUUGUUUUAUCCUACCUGAAGCAGUGCGUUUGUUCUGAAGCGUGUCAGAGACUCCUCUUGGGAUAACAAGCCUGGGGGACCCUGAGGAGGCUGUCGCCCGUCGCUGGAAUCCUACCGGUGUCCUGCUGGCUGCCAGCUCCGGUCCCGUGGCCCCAGAGGCUGAAGCAGAAAAUGUCACGGAGGUCUCUAGAAGUCAUGACUUCCGUGACAUAAACGUAGUCUUAAUUAAACACGCUGAUGCUGUACACUGGUGUGCUCAAACUGGGGGUUGGGACCCCUCGGGGUCACGAGGUUAUUACAUGGUGGGGAUUGCAAGCUGUCACUCUCCACCCCAAAUGCAUCCAGCAUUUAUAAUGGUGUUAAAUAUAUUUAAAAGGUUUUUUAAUUUAUAAGGGGGGGUCACACUCAGGGGCUAGCUAUGAGAAAGGGGUCACCAGUAGAAAAUUCUGAGAACCACUGUGCACACUGAAGACUAACACAUUACUCUUAAUCACAUAAGAAGUACAGAUUUAUACAAAAAUAAAUUCUACAUACAUUUAUACAAGAAUAAUGUUUACUCUAGAGCAUUCUUUGGGCUUGGGUCAGUGACCUUUGGGCCUAUCCCAAGUCCUCCUUUAGCGCUUGGCUUGUGUUCUCCUUAGAUCAGUUUGCUUCCUUUGCCUUGGCCUAUCUGACUCCUUCCUACCUCCUGUCUGAACUUUCUGUGUCUCACCCUGAGCUCCCUUGCAUGGUUCUGUGAGUGAGUUUAUAUAUCCUCCGCUUGGCUUCUUUGUUCUGUGUUUGGUAAUUUUCCACUUUCCAAACUCCAGCACCCUGCAAACUGGGUUUUCUGGGCAGGAGCCAAUUUUUAUUCCAAACUGUUUCCACCUUAUGGGUGGUUGCUGAGUUCUAACAACCCACCAUUGUUCCCACACUGGCAGAGACAUGAUGCAGUCUUGCAAGCUCAUGGUAGAUAUCCACAAACAGAUGGGAGCCUUCAUGAUACAACAGUUUUCAUAGUAAUGUCCUCAUAUCAGCCUGAAUUCAUAAACUUCACAGACAGAUACUUUGUGAUGAUUUGGGGAUCUGUUAUGCUUAGAUAAUCCUUGUGUAGCAUCUCUCGGGUGUGUUGUGUGGAAUUACAGAGAGGUUGGACUAUAAAGUCACUUUCUCUUUCUGUCUCACUCUCUCACAGUUGAGCAAUUAUUGAGCCAGAGAGAACGAGGAUGACUCUAUAAUCCAGUAGUUAGAGCAUACACAAGGGAGGCAGGAGUCCCCGAUUCUAUCACUUUCAUUAUUUAUCCAUAGCAAAACAGCUUCAGGAAACACUGAGGCAGCUCACAUCAAAAUAUCCCAUAUUAAAGUGGUUAGAGCAUCUCUCCUGAGAGGUGGGAGGCCCUGGUUCAAACCCUUUCCUGAUAGGAAGAGAGCGUAAUUGAACCUGGGUCUUCUUUAUCCCAGGUGAGUGCUCUGGCUACUGGGCUAACCAUUAUUAGGUGCUGCUGGUGGCCGGAUAUUAAAUAGGACCAGACCUGGGAGGCAAUGAAGGAACUUUUAUGCUGUAAGCUUACUCACUGACUGAGUUUAAUGGCUGGCCACCAAUAUCUGCAACUGGAACAAACUGGCAAUGAAGAAAAGGCCUUUGAUUGCAUUCCAGGGUGGGUAGAACUGCACCAAUACAGGGCCUGAUCUUCUUGUGCAGUGCAACUAAUUAGAGCCAACAGGAGGGCUCUUCUGCCACUCAAUCAUCUUGCUACUAGCAUAGGAGGGAAAAGAGGGCAUAGGCAAAGGAAGAGUGACAUGGCUAGGAUGCCCUUGCAUUACAUUCAUGCCUGACUGCAUUUUAAGCCCCUUGUGGUUGGUAUCGCAUAGGGUAAAUUAGAGCAGCUAUUUCAUUGUUCUGUAAGAAAGGGGAGGGGAACUAGUCAGCACAGUUCAGCAGCAGGAUCAGGGAAGAGCAGAGGUGAAUUUUAAGCCACCUAUUCACACACCCUGAUUUGCAUCCUGUGCAGUUUUGGCUCACUCCAGGAUUUGGUCCAGUCUCCUGAUAAAUCCAAACAUCUUAAAUGUUACUGCCUUCACAGCCUGCUGCGUUGAUGGUACCUUUGGACAAGACAAUGAGGGCACAUUUACAAUUUCUGUUAAUUGCAAAAAGCAAUAGACUUUUACAUUAGCAUUUUUCUGUCAUGAUGUUAGUAGUAAUCAUUUUAUUAAAUCUCUUGCUUAUUCAA